rnacentral:lncRNA from 1 species
AACAUGAAGUCACAGAGGCACAAAGGAGGAUGACAUGGCUGGGAAUGGGGAGAGAGGCAUGAUGGAGGGAUUCCCUAGACCCGGGCAGCAGAGGUGAGACCUCUCAGGAGUGGCCCAAUGGUCCUGCCCAGGCUUCAGGUUGAGCAGAUGGCAGAAGUUCUGGGAGGUCAAUGCUUGGCAUCAUUGCAGCUAAAAAAAUCCCUUUUGUUC